rnacentral:lncRNA from 1 species
UUCUGUUAGGAGAAUACUCAGAUGCUGUUUAUGUCCUUUUCCUUAGGAACAGUGAAAGGAGAAUAUGCAGAGAAGUUUCCAAGCUCCACUCCUUUGUUCUUGGGUCAAAAGAGAAUUAGAGGUUUUUUUCAGGAGAAGGAUCGCUAGGAGGACAAGAUCAAAGGCACGACGUCCAGCUUUCACAGAGGAUAUCUGUGAUCUUGCAAAAGCAUACAUAAUAUCUCUGGAUUGAAAGGAAAGGUAAAAUCAUCCACUUACUUACUCUGUUUGUUUUCCUGUCACUCAACAUGCAUUUUAAAACUAAACAUCUUUAGAAAAGGAAAUUAGGAAAAGCUGAGAUAUCCUCCAGUACAGUGACAGUUAUAACAUUAUAUUCAGAGAAGCUAUGGCAGAAAAAUUAUUAGCCACGUUGACUAAGUUUCAUAUCUGUUUCUCUGGCUAUUAAACAAAGUCGUAUGUCUUUUGCAGUCAAAUUUUUGCACAGAGGCAAUUACUGCAUAGCAGCUAACAGUUUGCAAACUUUUUUUUUUGCACAGAAAUUUUUGCAUAGCAGCUAACAGUUUGCAAACUUUUCUUUUCCUUCUCUGCACAGCCAGAAUUCUUUCCUUUCCUUCCCAUUUUCUGUGACCUUUUCCUUUAUGUGCAGGCUUUACUACUAGCAUUUGUGCUUUGUAAUCACUUCUUUUCAGUAUCUUCUUCCUGGAGUUGAACCUCUUAGAAACUUAAACCCCCCACAAGAUGCAACCACCUGCUUACUAAACAAUAUUUUUAUUGUCAUCAUCACAUUUGGUCUUGACCUUUUUAUCCUGGCUUAGUUUCUUGGAAUAUUGCUGUGAGCCUAGGACAGUGACCAAAACUAAAGCUACCUGAGGUGGCAGAUGAUUCAGUUGCACCAGUGCUCAGCUUCUGAAAGUCCCUAGACUUGCUGGGCAAGAAAGACUGGAGAAUGAGCUCUGGUAGCUGCUGAACAGGGGCUCCUUUUGUACAAGAGGCAAGCUCUACCAUUUAGCCACUGCCCUAGUCACCCAGUGCUAGUGUACAUGCCAGCUCUUCUCACAACUGAUAAGGCCAUGUACUAGGGACAUGUUUCUCUAGAUACUAGGGGUUUGAUAAAUACAUUUCUGGUGCAGAGAUGGUGGUUCUGUUUGCUAUCUUUAUUUUAAAGCAGUCCCUCUUUUGAGUAUGUUUAUCUUGCUUUGCAUUCAUGUUUUAAGAGAUAUCAGGUAAUAUAGCUGAAUUAACAUUCUCUUUUCUUUGAAAAAAUAUUGACUAUCAUCUUGCAUGCUGUCAAUAAAAUUGCCCUGACACAAAAUAGAAUGCUGUGU